AGAAGAACAUGGAAACGCACCAGAAGGUGGAUACGAUGUUGGAGAUGGUGCUGAAGGAGCACGAAAAGGCGAGGGCCAAAGCGGCUGCUGACAGUGAUCGGAAGAAGGAUCUCUUCGACAUUCUCUUGAACCUAAUUGAAGCUGAUGGUACUGACAAUAAACUCACAAGGCAAAGUGCCAAAGCCUUUGCUCUGGUACGUACACAUUUUUCGUUUUCUCCCAACGUCGCUCACUGUCACAUCCUUCCAAUUUAACAAGGACCAUUAUGACUACAAACAUAUUGAGGAAAGUGUGCUAAUUUCCCUAAAAUUAGAGUUAUUUUUUGCCAAAAUUACUAAUUUAGGAAAGACGUUUCUAAACACGAAUUAAGUCUAAUAAAUUUGAACUGAUUUAGGAAAGUGGUGACAUGUGAGACAAUUUUUCUAAACAUGACUUAAAUGCUGUCGUGUCACACUUUUAAUUCGAUUUUACUUCACUUUUAACAUGUUAGAAAUCGUUAACACAUAUUUUACUACAACUUUUUUAUAUUCAUAAUUCUUUUCAAAAAAAUCCCAUUUUAAUGGAAAAAAGGGGAAAAAUUGGCCCAUUUUCGUAAAAACUCCAAAUAAUCUGUUUAAGAACUAAAAGAAUCUAAAAGUAACAUAUAAAAGUUAAAAUGAGAUAUAAUAGUUGGGAAAACAUCCUUAGUUAUUAAUCUUUACUCAAACCUGAACACAAUAUCAGAAUGGUUGUUAUUACUGUUUUAUUUUAACUAUGGAAUUGAUUCCUAAACCUGACAUAGCUGAACGGUUGCACAGGACAUGUUCAUCGCGGGGACAAAUGGCCCCGCUAGUGUUCUGGAAUGGUCCCUUGCCGAGCUGGUGCGGAACCCGCAUGUGUUGAAGAAGGCGAGAGAGGAGAUAGACUCUGUGGUGGGAAAGGAGAGGGUGGUGAAGGAGUCAGACAUUCCCAACCUCCCUUAUCUGCAAGCAGUGGUGAAGGAAACUCUGAGAAUGCACCCACCCACCCCAAUAUUCGCGCGAGAAGCCAUGCGCACGUGCCAGGUCGACGGCUACGACAUCCCUGCGCACUCCACCAUUCUCAUCAGCACGUGGGCCAUUGGCAGAGACCCCAACUACUGGGACAACGCCCUGGAGUACAACCCAGAUAGGUUCUUGGUCUCCGAUGAAGUUGGAAAAGGCAAAAUCGAUGUGAGGGGACAGUAUUACCAGCUUCUACCCUUCGGAAGCGGAAGAAGAAGCUGCCCCGGAGCCUCACUUGCGUUACUCGUAAUGCAAGCCACGCUCGCCAGUUUGAUCCAGUGCUUCGAUUGGGUGGUAAAUGAUGGGAAGAGUCACGACAUUGACAUGACGGAGGAGGGAAGAGUCACGGUGUUUUUGAAGAAGCCGCUUACCUGCAAGCCUGUUCCGCGGUUCACUCCGUUCGCUGCAUGAACUGUGUGGAUGACUGCAACUCUGUUUUAUUUAGUAAUGAUAUUUAUAUGCUC
rnacentral:lncRNA from 1 species